GACUACAGCCAGCCGCAGCCGCCGCUGUUGUCGGCCAAGUGUGGCAGGUGGCGUAGUCGGGCUCAGUGUUUGUAUAGAUUUAAAAGUAUUUCAAAGUUAAAUUGGCAUAUAUAGAAUCGCAACGACGCUGCUAAAUUAUUCAUGAACGUCAAAGGAGUUCCAGUGCUAAAAGCAGCGUCUCGGACUUAAACAGCAAUGAAUGGUGCCGGUGCCGACACGAUGCCCACCAAGGUGAUUUCUUCAGAGCGCAUACCCUGCGGCUGUUAGGCACUACCUGGAGAGGUGGAGCAGUGGCAUAUGUUCGACAAGGAAGAACAGCAUGCUUGGAAAGCUUGUUUCGGAGAAGAUUGCCGAUUUGAUGAAAUUAUCUUCUACUAAUUAAAAAUAUAAUACUGGCCUCACUU